rnacentral:rRNA from 1 species
UACGUAGGGUGCAAGCGUUGUCCGGAAUUAUUGGGCGUAAAGAGCUCGCAGGCGGUUCGUCGCGUCGGCUGUGAAAACCCGGAGCUCAACUCCGGGCCUGCAGUCGAUACGGGCGGACUUGAGUGUUGCAGGGGAGACUGGAAUUCCUGGUGUAGCGGUGAAAUGCGCAGAUAUCAGGAGGAACACCGGUGGCGAAGGCGGGUCUCUGGGCAACUACUGACGCUGAGGAGCGAAAGCGUGGGGAGCGAACAGG